UCAUAAUCAUGUUGAUAUGGGUUCAGCGCUUACUACGUGCACAGCGCUCUUCUCUGCACAUCAGACUGUCUUCCAUCUUUGCUUCGAGGACCCCAGUUAAACUUACCCUUCAGCAGCUGUCUUGGGUGUCCUGUUGCUCUUCAGUCUCAUUAUCACUGCAACCAGAGAAAUAAAGAAAGAUGAGUCUAUCACUGCCUAUCUGAUGGCACAGCCAAGAUCACUGAACAGGAAAGAUGCGGUCCGGGAAGAUAUCAUCACCAAGGAGAAGGAGGAGGAAAGAGGGUCAGGACACCUUUUGGAAGAGCUCAAGAAAAUACAGUUGCUACCAACUGAAGUGUGGCUACCAACUCUGUUAUGUUGUACUUUUCCAAACACUUACUGCAGUGUGCUGCAUAAA